GUAAACCUUCAUAAGCCAUAAAAAGCUCAAGGCGUAUCAACUAACGCACCGCGAAAGCACGAGAGGUUCCUGUAAAAUGCCUGACCGAACCAAACAUUGGUUUGGAGGCACCAAAAUGCCUCAAUCUGUAAACACCAGCAGCAGCGUCUUCAGGAACUGUCCACUCUAGAGUUGCAAAACUUCUUGAACUCAAUCUUGCGGGCCUUGACCACUUGAAACGCAAUGACCAAUCAUCAUCAUCGUAGACAGGAACCCAAUUAUUGUUACCAUCUAGCUUCUCGACGAGUGCAAAGGUACCAUCCGUAAGAAGGUCAUUCCUUGGGCAUGCUGAAUAAAAUGUAGCAUUCACAGUACUACCCUUGUUGAAUGUUGAGUUACCAGGAACAUCCGAGUUGACAUCCCCAAACUUGACACCAAGAGGAGUUGAGUCAAAAACAACACCAGGAAGUAGUCCAAUUUGCUUGUCCAACAUAUCAGGAGGUUGGAAAUUUGUUGGGACCUCUUUGUUUGCAAUCAUGGCCAUAGCAAGUUUCUGAAAUUCUUGGAUAUAGGCACUCAAGGUGUGGGGACCAUACAACUUUAUACACACCUCAUAUCUUUGGAUCUGGUAUUCUUCAAAAGUUGUAAUGUACUGAGAGUAGCUGUUUGUUAGCCCCGCAAGAACAACAUGAAUAUUUUUAUCAAAUUCACUGUUUCCACUUGUAAGAACAGUUUUCACAGCAUCACGUAGACGCCUGCCAGCCAUUUUGGGAAUAUACCUCCAGGAACACACAAGAUAACCAGCUGACCAAUUCUAAUCAUUUGAACUGGAAAGAAGCCAUACCGCCCAAUCAUAUGGUUCCUUCAUUUCACCAGUGUCUAGCAAUAUUGGUUUUGGAGAAUGACAUUCAACUUGGUCCUUCCCUGGUGUCUUUAACAAGUUCCUUACUAACUUCCAGAAAGGGUUUCCCUUGACAUCUCCUUGUCUGAAAUCAAAAGCUCCAGGGCCAUCUGUGGUUCCAGCAGCAAAAGCAAAGCCCAUUGCUGCUGGGCAUGUUUUCACGGUCUGCUGACCGCCUGCACUUGUAGAAACUUUAACUUCAAGUUUUGAGAAAUCUAAAUAAGUGUGCCUAUAGUCAAUUUUGCCUUGUAUUUCUUCAGAAGCUGAAUCAAAGAGAUCUCUAGCCUUUAGAAAUUGCCUAUUCCCAAUAACACGGGUACUUUCAAACUCAUCAGGGCAUGGUGGAUACCCUGGGCCUCGUCCAUAGCAAAGUUCAUUUUUCCCAUUACAUGUGCUGUGAUUGAAGUCACAGGGAAGAUUGGUGUCUAUGCAAAAUGUUCCAAGGACAUUUGGACUAACAUCUCCACAAUUGGACUGACAAAAUGCAGAAACAAAUUUAGGUUUGUUUUGUUGAGUACUUCUAAUGCGCCUAGUGAUACUUGAACCUGCCAACCGCCUGCCACCUGAGGCCUCAUAGGAUGAUGCCAAUUGUAUCAAGUUCAUACUUAUCUCAUUUGGUUCAGGAAUUAUAGUAGAAACUCUCCGAGGAAGUACAGAUGUCUUGUGCAAAGAUCUCAAAUCAUCAGAAUUUGCAUGAGCUGACUGUUUGGGCAAGCCCAUUUGUUCAGCCCAGUCUUCCAUGAAGCGUGCAGCGGCUCCCUUGUUAUCACCACUUAUCAAAGAAUUUGUACGGCUCAUUGAUGUUCCAUGAGUUGCAAACCAAUUGAAACUUCCAACUGGACCCAGUUCAUCGUCUACAAACUUGAUGAGGGUCAUUUCUUUAUCAACAUUAUACUCGUACUUGCUUCUCUCUUCGGCAGGAUUAUUUAGGUAUGCACUUGGGCUGCGAUUCACACCAGCAUCAAGGAGCUAAUUUUAUACCUUUAUUCACAAAUAUUUUCCCAGGACGGAGGUUGUUAUGAGCUUCAACAAUGCUUUGCUCGAUGCCAUCAACAAUUACAUCAAAGGAUUGGCGAACAAACCCAAGAGACGUGACAAUAUAAACUACAUACUGAAGAUAACCUCCAGGCCCAGCAUGAGUGUGGAUGCCACUGAUAGCCACGUUGUUCUCAUUAUAAAGAUCACCAUACCUUGCUUUUAGCCUUUCAAGCACCUUUAUAGUCACAAUCUGUGAUGCCAUACAAGCAUCGAUAUUAACAAACACAACACGCUUUCCAUUAGGCUCAGCCACAAUAAAUGCACGUGACUUCAGCCUGAAGUGAAUUCCCGAUGCAAUCUGCUCAGUAUUUGCAUAUCCCAUCAUGUUAACAUCUGCUGCAGGUCCUGUUAUGUCGAAGCUCCCCAUACCGACCAGAUACGGCGAGGCUGAGAGUACCAGGCUGCAAUUCAGAAGAACAAGAGCUAGAAGAAGCCAUAACCAUACUCUGGAUGAACCAAAACCACGAGCUUGGUAGCACAACCAAGAUGAAGCCUCCAUGAAGGACAAUGGAAUGGACUUGUUAAUCAACUCAUGUAGGUCCAAAAU
rnacentral:sRNA from 1 species